GGGAUGUGUGCAAUGAAAGAGAACAUGCUGUUCAUCCUGGACAUUAUCAUCAGCCUCACAAAGGUCACAGUUUGAGGAAGACCUGUGAUUCCAAGUUGCUGUCUCAUAGCGAAGGGUGUGAACACGAAGUCUAAAUCGAGCCACGUUGCGAAUGACAUCAUGGGGGAGGUCAAGGAACAUGUAUUUGGGGAGACUGUAGGAAGAAUGCCCAACCAAGGCCCUAUUCGUAGGAGGAGCGCACCACUGGUGAUAGGU
rnacentral:lncRNA from 1 species